GAUGAACGCUGGCGGCGUGCCUAAUACAUGCAAGUCGAGCGAACAGACGAGGAGCUUGCUCCUCUAACGUUAGCGGCGGACGGGUGAGUAACACGUGGAUAACCUACCUAUAAGACUGGGAUAACUUCGGGAAACCGGAGCUAAUACCGGAUAAUAUAUUGAACCGCAUGGUUCAAUAGUGAAAGACGGUUUUGCUGUCACUUAUAGAUGGAUCCGCGCCGCAUUAGCUAGUUGGUAAGGUAACAGCUUACCAAGGCAACGAUGCGUAGCCGACCUGAGAGGGUGAUCGGCCACACUGGAACUGAGACACGGUCCAGACUCCUACGGGAGGCAGCAGUAGGGAAUCUUCCGCAAUGGGCGAAAGCCUGACGGAGCAACGCCGCGGGAGUGAUGAAGGUCUUCGGAUCGUAAAACUCUGUUAUUAGGGAAGAACAAAUGUGUAAGUAACUAUGCACGUCUUGACGGUACCUAAUCAGAAAGCCACGGCUAACUACGUG
rnacentral:rRNA from 1 species